CAGCCGCCGCGGUAAUACGUAGGGUGCGAGCGUUAAUCGGAAUUACUGGGCGUAAAGCGUGCGCAGGCGGUUAUAUAAGACAGAUGUGAAAUCCCCGGGCUCAACCUGGGACCUGCAUUUGUGACUGUAUAGCUAGAAUACGGUAGAGGGGGAUGGAAUUCCGCGUGUAGCAGUGAAAUGCGUAGAUAUGCGGAGGAACACCGAUGGCGAAGGCAAUCCCCUGGACCUGUACUGACGCUCAUGCACGAAAGCGUGGGGAGCAAACAGGAUUAGAUACCCCUGUAGUCCCUGUCUCUUAUAC
rnacentral:rRNA from 1 species